CCUAACAUGUCGUUGGUUUUACCAUAUCAGUUUGAGCCCGAGUCAGAUUCAGAAAAUGCGGAUGAUCGAGAGGAACCAACUUUGCAAACAUGACUUGACUUCACAGUGAUACCAGCUAUUCAUCAGAAACAACAACAACAAAAUGAUUGAUAUCCCCCCCCAAGCAAGCAAACCCGUGACCCAGAAAUGCUAUGUCAGCCAUCUUGAAGGACAUAUGAAUUCGCUAAUUGCACCACGAGGAGGUGAGGAGCGAGAGCUUCAGAGGAGCUAGGAGCGAUACACAGGUGUAUCCUAUGCAAAAGUGUUUCUUGCUGAAAAACCUGAUGCACGUAUAAAUUCCCCUCCUGCUUUACAUCUGCCACAAUCUCAAACAAAAGGUCCUUUGAUGAUGUGAUGUAUGCUUACACAAUGAAGCAGUGGGCUCUGUGGCAAGAUUUCCCAGUGUGAAUGUAUGGUAUAUUUUUUAAAGCAAAUGGUAUAUGUUAAAGAAAUCACUGAAUAAAUCAGUAUGUUAAUGGUAUAUAUUAAAUAAAUCAUUGAAUAGAUCAGUAUGUUAAGGUUAAGCAAUCAAAAGUAAGAUCCAAUCAUGUGUAAUAUAUAAGAUCAUAAGAGAGAAUUUGUUUAUCAAAGAAGCUAAAAUCAUUGAGCGCCCAUUCUUCAGUUAUAAAUGUAUCUUUUCUAGUAGGCUUGCUCUGUUAUUUCUCAGAAAAAUCACCUGCACCUGUAUAAAAACAGUUUGUACUCUGUCUUUUUAAGUCUGUAUCUUUGAAGACAAUGCAUUUCUACUCUUUCUUUUUAAGUUACCAGUUUGAUGUAAAGUGAUUUCUUAAGAUGUGUUGUUAAAAUCCAUGAUGUAAGUCAAUAAAAUAAAAGCUUCUUAGAAAAUAAACUGAUUGAACUAACGUCACUAUUAUAGAUAAGAUCUGAAGAAAGAAACAUAAUUGCUGUCAGAAGUGUGAUCAAGAAAAUAUGGGAAAACCCCCACCUAAUGAGAUCAUUGUUUAAGUAUUGUAUAAAAGCAUGAACAUUGAUUGUACUUAUCAGAUGAUCUGUAGACUUUUAUGAUUCUUUAAUAAAAGUCUGAUUUUUGGCAUUAAACCCCUUGACUCUGAGAGAUUUUUACUUUGGCUAAGGUGAUUUUCCAGACAAAUGCUGUGGAAAACCCCUUCUGAAUGCAAUGCCACCUUGGAGGUAG
ensembl:lncRNA